rnacentral:piRNA from 1 species
CCCAAUCUGUUGGUUGCCGUUUUGUCCUA